rnacentral:rRNA from 1 species
UACGGAGGAUGCAAGCGUUAUCCGGAAUUAUUGGGCGUAAAGCGUCCGCAGGUGGCUAGACAAGACUGCUGUCAAAGACUGGAGCUCAACUCCGGGCAGGCGGUGGAAACUGUCUAGCUAGAGUACGGUAGGGGUAGAGGGAAUUCCCAGUUUAGCGGUGAAAUGCGUAGAGAUUGGGAAGAACACCAGUGGCGAAGGCGCUCUACUGGGCCGUAACUGACGCUCAGGGACGAAAGCUAGGGGCGCGAAAGGG